AAUAUUUAUUACAGUACACCACGGCAGAAACCGAAAGCACAAUGAAGUCAAAGAUAGCUAGGCUACUGUUGUUAGGAACGGUAAUAACCCAAGCGGUGAAGCAUGAGAUUUAUGGUGGUUUAUGUGAACAAUGUGAAGAAACCAAGCCUUGCAUUAUCUCCUAUAAUUUUCAAGCUAGUAAAAACACCCAAAUACAAUUCGCAUGGUAUAGUCCAAACAACGAGGUCAUGACCUGCUCCACUAGAGGCAACGGUAGAUGCAACAUUUACCCACAAUAUAAAGGUCUUAUAACAUAUUCAAUACAAAAAGAACAAGAGUAUAUAAUCACUAACCUGAUCAUUACAAAUACCAGUCGAGAAACUAGAGUAAUUACAAUGGAGGGAAAAUGGACUUUAAUGAUGUACUAUUC